rnacentral:rRNA from 1 species
GACGAACGCUGGCGGCGUGCUUAACACGUGCAAGUCGAACGGAAAGGCCCCUUUGGGGGUACUCGAGUGGCGAACGGGUGAGUAACACGUGAGUAACCUGCCCUUGACUUCGGGAUAACUUCAGGAAACUGGGGCUAAUACCGGAUAGGAAUCCUUGCUGCAUGGUGGGGGUUGGAAAGCUUCGGCGGUUUUGGAUGGACUCGCGGCUUAUCAGCUUGUUGGUGGGGUAGUGGCUUACCAAGGCUUUGACGGGUAGCCGGCCUGAGAGGGCGACCGGCCACAUUGGGACUGAGAUACGGCCCAGACUCCUACGGGAGGCAGCAGUGGGGAAUAUUGCACAAUGGGCGGAAGCCUGAUGCAGCAACGCCGCGUGCGGGAUGACGGGCUUCGGGUUGUAAACCGCUUUCAGCAGGGGCGAAGCUUGUGGUGACGGUACCUGCAGAAGAAGCACCGGCUAACUACGUG